GACGCGCAGACACAGCAGGACACACAGACGCCGUAGGAUGGACAGACACUGUGGGACAGACAGACACUUCCUGCCCAAACCUGGCUGCACAGGACAGAUGGAAACCACAGGACAGACGGACGCCUGCUAUCCAACCCCACUGAGGGACACUCAGACACAGCAGGACACACAGACGCCGUAGGAUGGACAGACGGACACUUCCCGCCCAAACCCGGCUGCACAGGACAGGUGGAAACUGCGGGACAGACGGACGCCUGCUAUCCAACCCCACUGAGGGACGCGCAGACACAGCGGGACACACAGACGCCUCCUGCCCGACUCCAGUGAGGGACGUACGGACACCGCAGGACAGACGGACACUUCCUGCCCGAUCCCCAAUGAUGGACACACAGACACCUCCCGCGUGACCGUCGACUGCGGGACAGGCGGACGCUGCAGGACUGACAGAUUCCCCCCCUUCCUGCCCGCGCAGCAGCGCUCGCUGCAGCACAAGGGGGGCUGCGGGCACACGGUGACCCCCUGGGACCCCCGGGGGGGGGAUGGGAGGAAUGGGGGGGGUCUGGGGGGGGGAGGUGGGGGUACCGACCUCGUGGGAGGAGAGCGGCUGCGUGUGAGCGGCGCCGGACGCCGUGGUGACUUCAGACAUCCGCAGCAUCGUCCGAAUGAUCUCGCUGCUGGGCUGCAACGGGGCACAGCGGGAUGAGCUGCAACGGGGCUGCACUGCUGGGCUGCAGUGCUGAGCAAGGGGGGCUGCAGUGCUGAGCUGCAACGGGGCUGC
ensembl:lncRNA